rnacentral:rRNA from 1 species
UACGUAGGGGGCGAGCGUUGUCCGAAGUUACUGGGCGUAAAGCGCGUGUAGGCGGCUUUUUAAGUUUGGGGUGAAAGGUUCACGGCUCAACCGGAACAGGGCCUUGAAAACUGGGAAGCUUGAAUGUGGCAGGGGAAAGCGGAAUUCCCGGUGUAGCGGUGAAAUGCGUAGAUAUCUGGAGGAACACCGAUGGCGAAGGCAGCUUUCUGGGCUACCAUUGACGCUGAGCCGCGAAAGCGUGGGGAGCGCUCGGG